UCUAGAACUCGAGAUAUGGACUGAACACUGAACAAUGUCUGGGCUGCAGGACAGAUUCUGACUUCUCUAUUGUUGCUACAAUUUGAACUUGAAAACGGUCCUUUUGAAUCUUUGACUCUUCAUGAAAGUUUUAGGCCUAUAUCUUAGGUUUCUAUC
rfam:Populus trichocarpa scaffold_20_contig_15, whole genome shotgun sequence.